UUUUUAUGGAGAGUUUGAUCCUGGCUCAGGAUGAACGCUGGCGGCGUGCCUAAUACAUGCAAGUCGAGCGAACAGACGAGGAGCUUGCUCCUCUGAC
rnacentral:rRNA from 1 species